rnacentral:lncRNA from 1 species
AUGAGAUGCUUUUAUUAGACAUUUUUAUUAGACCCAUGUCUAUCAAUGUACUGGGAAGGACCAAGCAAUCAAUUCUGCCUUGCCCUUGACUGUCCAGCAUGUCACUGAUAAUGGGCACAGUCACAAAGCAGCCAGUGUGAGUCAAAAGUUAAUUUGCCCAUCUCUCCAUUGCUCUUUGGAUGACUUUGGAUUGAUUUUGGGAACUAGAGUGGUUGAGGCUGUUAGCCUGCCAAAAGAGCCAUGGUGAACAACAAGAAAAUCUCCAGAUGUGCAAAAGGUUUCUGUGCUGCACAGUCCACAGGAGGAAAAUAACAAAACGUUCAGAAUAAAGAAGACCUCAUUUCCACAGGGAGAACGGAUUAUCCCAGAAGGUGCUAGAUGUCAAACAUCCCUAUCAGACAAGCGGGAAGCCUGGGUGGAAAAUGGUGGGACUGUCUGAGCACUGGAAAUAAGGAGCAACUGGGAUCAAAAGAGCCACAACGAAGAAACUCAGUAGAUUCUUCACUUCAGUCUUGAGCAAAUCUGGAAGAACCUUAUACAGUUUAAAAAGGAGGAGGUGCAUUCCUCAUGCCUCCCGGAGUCCAUUUCUGGGAGCCAUCUGCAGUCAUUUUUACAG